GUUGUAUAGUUAAGUGACUAAGCGUACAAGGUGGAUGCCUUGGCAAUCAGAGGCGACGAAGGACGUGCUAAUCUGCGAAAAGCUUGGAUGAGUCGAUAAGAGGCGUUUAAUCCAAGAUGUCCGAAUGGGGAAACCCAGUAGAUGAAGAAUCUACUAUCACUUACUGAAUCCAUAGGUAAGUGAGGCAAACCGGGAGAACUGAAACAUCUAAGUACCCCGAGGAAAAGAAAUCAACCGAGAUUUCGUUAGUAGCGGCGAGCGAACGCGAAGGAGCCUGUUAGUGAUAAUGACAGAGACAGAGGAACAAGCUGGGAAGCUUGGCGAUACAGGGUGAUAGCCCCGUACUCGAAGUCCAGGUCAUGGUACUAAGCUAACGACAAGUAGGGCGGGACACGUGAUAUCCUGUUUGAAGAUGGGGGGACCAUCCUCCAAGGCUAAAUACUCCUGAUUGACCGAUAGUGAACCAGUACUGUGAAGGAAAGGCGAAAAGAACCCCGGUGAGGGGAG
rnacentral:rRNA from 1 species